CUCCGGUUGAUCCCGCCGGACCCGACUGCUAUCAGAGUGGGACUAAGCCAUGCGAGUCAACGUAGCAAUACGUGGCAUACGGCUCAGUAACACGUAGUCAACAUGCCCAGGGGACGAGGAUAACCUCGGGAAACUGAGGAUAAACCUCGAUAGGCCAUGAUUUCUGGAAUGAUUCUUGGCUCAAACCUAUAUGGCCCCUGGAUUGGACUGCGGCCGAUCAGGCUGUUGGUGAGGUAAUGGCCCACCAAACCUGUAACCGGUACGGGCUCUGAGAGGAGGAGCCCGGAGAUGGGCACUGAGACAAGGGCCCAGGCCCUAUGGGGCGCAGCAGGCGCGAAACCUCUGCAAUAGGCGAAAGCUUGACAGGGUUACUCUGAGUGAUUUCCGCUAAGGGAAUCUUUUGGCACCUCUAAAAAUGGUGCAGAAUAAGGGGUGGGCAAGUCUGGUGUCAGCCGCCGCGGUAAUACCAGCACCCCGAGUGGUCGGGACGAUUAUUGGGCCUAAAGCAUCCGUAGCCGGUCCUGCAAGUCUUCCGUUAAAUCCAGCUGCUCAACAGAUGGGCUGCGGGAGAUACUACAGGGCUAGGAGGCGGGAGAGGCAAGCGGUACUUUAUGGGUAGGGGUAAAAUCCGCUGAUCCAUAGAAGACCACCAGUGGCGAAGGCGGCUUGCCAGAACGCGCUCGACGGUGAGGGAUGAAAGCUGGGGGAGCAAACCGGAUUAGAUACCCGGGUAGUCCCAGCUGUAAACGAUGCAGACUCGGUGAUGGGUUGGCCUCGCGCCUGCCCAGUGCCGCAGGGAAGCCGUUAAGUCUGCCGCCUGGGGAGUACGGUCGCAAGACUGAAACUUAAAGGAAUGGCGGGGGAGCA
rnacentral:rRNA from 1 species